UCGGGAAUUUUGGGCAAUGGGGGAAACCCUGACCCAGCAACGCCGCGUGAGUGAUGAAGGCCCUAGGGUUGUAAAGCUCUUUUACCAGGGAUGAUAAUGACAGUACCUGGAGAAUAAGCUCCGGCUAACUCCGUGCCAGCAGCCGCGGUAAGGCGAGGGAUCCUAGCGUUGUUCGGAAUCAUUGGGCGUAAAGCGGGUGUAGGCGGACUUUUAAGUCAGGUGUGAAAUCCCAGGGCUCAACCCUGGAAGUGCACUUGAUACUGCAAGUCUUGAGUGUGGUAGAGGCUAUUAGAAUUCUUGGUGUAGUGGUGAAAUACGUAGAUAUCAAGAGGAACACCUGAGGUGAAGACGGGUUGCUGGGCUGACACUGACGCUGAGGCGCGAAAGCCAGGGGAG
rnacentral:rRNA from 1 species